rnacentral:sRNA from 1 species
AUGUUAGCUCUUUCAACAUGAAAGGGGGAUGCCUAUGACUUUUUUGUUAGGAACUCCUGGAAAGGAUAACCCAUGACCGUUUAUGAAGCACUCUCUUUUGCAGUCGCUUUUACAACUUUAAUGUUGUUACUAAACAGUCAAAA